AACGCUAGCGGCAGGCUUAACACAUGCAAGUCGCGGGGCAGCGCGGGUAGCAAUACCUGGCGGCGACCGGCGGAAGGGUGCGUAACGCGUGAGCAACAUGCCCGUAUCAGGGGGAUAACCGAUGGAAACGUCGCCUAAUACCCCAUAACAACAGAGGCUGCAUGGUCUUUGUUUGAAAGUCACGGCGGAUACGGAUUGGCUCGCGUGACAUUAGCUGGUUGGCGGGGUAACGGCCCACCAAGGCGACGAUGUCUAGGGGUUCUGAGAGGAAGGUCCCCCACACUGGAACUGAGACACGGUCCAGACUCCUACGGGAGGCAGCAGUGAGGAAUAUUGGUCAAUGGGCGCAAGCCUGAACCAGCCAUGCCGCGUGCAGGAAUGAGGCCCUAUGGGUCGUAAACUGCUUUUGCUGCGGAGCAAUAAGGGUUACGUGUAAUCUGAUGAGAGUACGCAGCGAAUAAGCAUCGGCUAACUCCGUGCC
rnacentral:rRNA from 1 species